rnacentral:tRNA from 1 species
GCCAGCUCAGUUGGUUAGGGCAUGGUGUUGAUAACGCCAGGGUUGCAGGUUCGAUCCCCGUAAGGGACA